rnacentral:miRNA from 1 species
CUAUUAGGAUGGUGCAAAAGUAAUUGUGGUUUUUGCCAUUAAAAGCAUUAGCAAAACUGCAUUACUUUUGUAUCACCAUGCCAAGCUCAUUUUUUGUAUUUAUUAUUAUUUUU